UGCAACAACCUGACCGCAACCAUGUGCAACCCGAAAGCCAAGCACUCCUGCUCUGUCGUCGGAUGCACGGACACUCAUGUUUCCCUACAUUGCCUUCCUACCAAAGAGAAGCGAAGCGAAGUAGCUAAAUUUUAUUUUUCAGGGAAACGUCCCAGCUUCACUGAGCAAAAGCGUUGUUGUCUAUGCCAAUCACUUAACACCGGACUGUUUCAGCAACCAGGGUCAGUAUCAGGCUGGACUGGCAACGAGAUUGUUCCUCAAAGAUGGAUCAAUACCCACUGUCCGUGUCAACGCCACAGAAGAAUAAACUCCAAGCACAUCUGUACAGCAGUCUGUAGUGCAUCAUGUUGCCUGCCAGACAGACCAACCAGUGAAAUGCACGGUUGGCACACAGCUUUCCAUGAGAACUCUCCCGCCUCACUUCAGAAGCACAGACUCUACCUGACUGCCCUGCAUUACAAUGAAAAUACUGACCGACCACAGGCAACAUCUACAGGUGGAGAGCUUCUGUACAGUCAACUUCCCCAAAUCUAACCAUGGAAAAUGAACUGCAAAGCCUGUGAAAG